UACAGAGGUCCCAAGCGUUGUUCGGAUUCACUGGGCGUAAAGGGUGCGUAGGUGGCGAGGUAAGUCGGAUGUGAAAGCUCGGAGCUCAACUCCGAAAUGGCAUUGGAAACUACCUUGCUCGAGGGUUGGAGGGGGGACUGGAAUACUUGGUGUAGCAGUGAAAUGCGUAGAUAUCAAGAGGAACACCAGUGGCGAAGGCGAGUCCCUGGACAACACCUGACACUGAGGCACGAAAGCGUGGGGAGCAAACAGG
rnacentral:rRNA from 1 species